rnacentral:lncRNA from 1 species
UCUGUUAGAAAAUGACUAGAAUUUUCUAAGGCAGCACUGCCUAAUAGAAAUAUAGUGUGAGCCACACAAUAUAAUUUUUAAGUUUUUAGUAGUCAUUAAAACAAGUAGAAAGAUACCAGUGGAAUUUUAAUAACUGUAUUUCUAUACUGCUGCUCCUUCUAUUGAAUCUAACUUAAAAUUCCAUGUAACCCUCACAUGUGGGUAUGAAAAACAUUAACAGGAAAUGCUAAUAUAGGGAGUCAGUGAAGCUGGGGUAGGAAAUUGAUGAUGUGAUACCGGAAGUGAUCUGGCAGGGCUUUAAAGUAAUGCCAGAGGUCCUUCCAGGCAGUUCUCAACUUGCUCCUUGGCUGUUCUCCUGACACUUAAGUCAGAGCAUUCUGUAGCUGUAUUUUACAGAACUGUAAUUGCACAGAUUGUUCCUCUUACAAGAGAAAUAUCCAGAGCUCUAAGAAAACAACUGAUGAAAACGACAUGCGUGACAUUUGGUGCUGAAGACCCAGGUCAGAGAGACUCCUUUGGGGGACCAGUCCGCUGUCCUUGCCCUCACUCUGUGAGGAGACCCACCUACGACCUCGGGUCCUCAGACCAACCAGCUCAAGGAACAUCUCACCAAUUUCAAAUCGGGACCCCACUGGAAAAUGGACUGUCCAACUCACCCGGCAGCCACUCCCAGAGCCCCUGGAACUCUGGCCCAAGGCUCUCUGACUGACUCCUUCCCAGAUCUUCUCGGCUCAGCAGCUGAAGACUGACACUGCUUGAUUGCCUGGGAAGCCUAUAGGACCAUCACAGACACUUUGGAUAACUCUUACAGUGAAGGUGUCUGGAGUUUCCCCUAUGGACGCUCUCUCCUGCCACCAUAAGAACAGCAUUUAGCUGGGCCUAUGGCUACCUACCUAAAGACUGCACCUCUUAGUCACCCUUGUGGCCAGGUGUGGCCACGUGACAGUGGAAUGUAAGUGGAAGUGAUGUAUGCACUUGGGUUCAUUGGUUUAAAAAAAAAUAUGACCGCCCUCCAUUUCCACUCUUUGUCUUAUCUGUGAAUGGGAACAUGGCUGUGUCUGCAGCCCGACUUUGUGCAGCAAAGGACAAGGCCCUAGGGGAAGGUGGAGAAACAAGAUGGAACAACUUGGACCCAACAACUUGGAUCCCUAUGUGGCCAUGUGGAGUCAUCUCACCCACCUGGGCCACUCACCCCGAAGACUGUUGUGUGAGGGUGAAAUAAACUUCUGUAUCACUAGCCCCUGCAUUUCAGAAAUUCUUUGUUAUGGCAGUUUUGCCUUUAUCCUAACACAGACAGCAAAGUAUCUUCUGUGGCCCCAUGACUAAUUUCGUUGUUUAAACUCAUUAUAAAAACUAUAUAAAUAAAAUAUUAAAAAUCAAAUAAAAUAGCAAGAUAACACUGUGUAACUAUCCAGUUUUAGAUGUUAUUACCUUUUUGGCAUAUUUACCUCAUCUAUUUUCUCCAGGGGUUUUUAAAGAAGAGUCAUGCUUGUUAUUUUAAAUUAUCUGCAGUGCUCCUUGGUCUUAUAAAACUAUGGGUUAUUUCAAACUUCGGUAAAUGUCUGAUACACAUGAACUUCUUGCAUUGUUGAGGAAAUCAGAGAAAAAUGAUGCUGUUUUUCCCUUGUAAGUUGACAAUGGAUGGAGAUGAAACCACCUUUGCAAAAUUAUGGCAAUAAGAGAAAUUGGACAUGGCAGACUCCAUCUUGCUUUUAGCCUCACAGGUUGGCUGUCUUGGCUCAUUCCUGGGCAUAAGCCAAGCUAACUUUGGCAGAAAUUGAGUUUAUAGUGUAAACGAUAAUAGCCUUUCCCCAAAACUAAACUACCCUUGUAAAAUUAAUGAAAGGCCACCAAGUUAGGAGGAUGAGAAGGGCCUGAAUGCCUGAAUUCAGCCAUUAUUCUGGAAGUCACAAGAUGUGCAACCUCCCCAGUUACUCCUGUAAAUAACUUCAGUAUUGUAGAACCUAAGAUUGGCCUUUUGACAGCCUUUUGCAUUUCUGACAACUAGAUGGCCCCACGCAGACCCGUGACUCAACCAGUCCUAUAGCCUUCAUCCAAAAAUGGACUCAGUGCAUGAGGACUGUUUUCCACACCCUUAUGAUUGCAUCCCAAACCAAUCAGCAGCACCCAUACCCUAUCCCCUGCACACCAAACUAUCUUUGAGAAACUCCUAACCUCUGAUUCUUUGGUGAGAUUGAUUUAAGUAAUAACUCUGUCUCCCACAUGGCGUGGCUGGCGUCGUGUCAAUUAAACUCUUUCUUUACUGCAAUGCCAUGGUCUCUAUGAAUUGAUUUUGUUUUGCAG